CCCAAGUCUUGUGCCACCCCAGAUUCCAUCCCAGCAGACAGGAAGUGGCCCCACAGUAGCCCCAGCCGGGACCGCUCUCUGGAGAGGAAGGCCAGGAAGAAGCAGUCACCCUCCCUCCCCUGGAAUGUGCAACAGGUCACGGAGAAACUUCAGCCCCCCUCCGUAGAAUACUUGUGUGAGAGUCAGCCACCCCCUGCACUCGCUCAACUGUCAAAGCCAUCGGGAAAGAGCUUUUUCCCUGCUGUCCCUGCAGCUUCCAAGACAAAACCCAGCCUCAGUUUCCACGCAGAUGAGAACACGCUUCACGUGCCAGAGGUCAGCUUCACCUUCCCCAGCGCCAUGU